GCCCCAGUAGCUCAGGGGAUAGAGCACCGGCCUCCGGAGCCGGGAGCGCAGGUUCGAAUCCUGCCUGGGGCA
rnacentral:tRNA from 1 species